rnacentral:rRNA from 1 species
CGACGAAAGUCCGUUCGGGGCGAGUAGAGUGGCGGACGGGUGAGUAACGCGGUGGGAAUCCUACCUAGAGCGGGGGACAACCCGGGGAAACCCGGGCUAAUACCGCAUACGUCCUACGGGAGAAAGAGGGCCUCUGCUUGCACGCUCUCACUCCAGGAUGAGCCCACGUCCGAUUAGCUAGUUGGUAGGGUAAAGGCCUACCAAGGCCACGAUCGGUAGCUGGUCUGAGAGGAUGAUCAGCCACACUGGGACUGAGACACGGCCCAGACUCCUACGGGAGGCAGCAGUGGGGAAUAUUGGACAAUGGGCGCAAGCCUGAUCCAGCAAUGCCGCGUGUGUGAAGAAGGCCUGCGGGUUGUAAAGCACUUUCAGUGGGGAAGAACAGAUUCGGGUCAAUACCCCGGAGCCCUGACGUUACCCACAGAAGAAGCACCGGCUAACUACGUG